CACUGCCUGCCCCAGAGACAUUUGUUUAACGGCCGCGGUAUCCUGACCGUGCAAAGGUAGCAUAAUCAUUUGUUCCUUAAUUAGGGACUUGUAUGAAUGGCCACACGAGGGUUUAACUGUCUCUUACUUCCAAUCAGUGAAAUUGACCUUCCCGUGAAGAGGCGGGAAUAUAAAAAUUAGACGAGAAGACCCUAUGGAGCUUUAAUUUAUCUACUCCAAUAGAAUAACCAACAACCCACAUAGGAAUAACACUUAAUUCUAACUGGAUAGAAAAUUUCGGUUGGGGUGACCUCGGAGCAUAAAACAACCUCCGAGAAUUUCUACCAAGACUAACAAGUCAAAGUACUACACACUUAAUUGAUCCAGUCUAACUGAUCAACGGAAUAAGUUACCCUAGGGAUAACAGCGCAAUCCUAUUCUAGAGUCCCUAUCGACAAUAGGGUUUACGACCUCGAUGUUGGAUCAGGACAUCCUAAUGGUGUAGCAGCUAUUAAUGG
rnacentral:rRNA from 1 species